UUUAUCAGAAAAAUUACACUGGUUAUAUAACAGUUUGACAAACACUAAUUUUGAUCAUUGAGAAGCUUAAUAUUCCCUUAACAACACAACGUAAUUAAAACGUUUAGCUGAUUUUACAGAGUUAUCUCCCUGUAGUGUUAGGUACCACCUUAAAAGAGGUUUCUUGGGAAGAAGAUGUAUUUAAUAACCAGAAAGAGAAUUAUUAAAAAACAAUUCAAUAUUUUGACAAACAAAUUUUGAUGGUUUUGGUUCAUAGAAUUAAGUUGAAAUUCUAUUGAUGGUUUAUUUUUAUUAGUUACACAAUACUUCAAGUGAGAGCAGUUGUGUGUGCUUUCCUUCUCUGUGACAGAAAACACAAAAAAUUGAGAUACACAUGCAAUGAAAACUAAGGAUUUAAUUGCAACUUGUAAUCAAUGUUAAUAAAUUAUUUAUGAUAAUGUUACUGAAUAAUAAAAUAGUUUGUGAUUGUUUAUA